ACGGUAUAGCAUCAUCCUAUCCUAUCCCCUUCUGGCACAGAUCUUGAAGGAUCCUCUUGGCUGUGAAGAUGACAGGAACAAGAAACCCCAGAGGAUCCUAGAAGGAGCUUACUGUGCAUAGGAUCCCUCUCCGAGUCAAUGGCCUGUUUGGGAUGGAUAUGCAGAACUUAAAUGCAUCUGACUGUAGGCACCACCACACUCCCAAUGCUCGCUCAACAGGGUGGAGCCUGCUGGAGUCCGAUGGUUGAGACCAGGUCUGAGGAAGUAUUCCUGUCAACUCACAAUCGACACAAACACAGUGAACACAAAGCUCCAACUGUCUGACGACAACAGGAAGGUGACACAUGUGGAGGAGGUUCAGUCGUAUCCUGAUCAUCCAGACAGAUUUGAUGUUUAUCAUCAGCUGCUGUGCACAAAUGGUCUGACUGGUCGCUGUUACUGGGAGGUCGAGUGGAGAGGAUGUGUUCAUAUAUCAGUGAGUUACAGAAGAAUCAGAAGGAAAGGAAACAGUAAAGACUGCGUGUUCGGAUGGAAUGCUCUGUCCUGGACUCUGAGCUGCUCUGAUGAUGGUCCUCAGUCUCUCAGGCACAAUAACAGAACAACAUUUAUCUCCUCCUCCUCCUCCUCCUCCUCUGUCUCUAACAGAGUAGCAGUGUAUGUGGACUGUCCUGCUGGCACUCUGUCCUUCUACAGAGUCUCCUCUGACACUCUGAUCCACCUCCACACCUUCAACACCACCUUCACUCAAACUCUUUAUCCUGGGUUUAUGUUCAU